rnacentral:lncRNA from 1 species
UCCAUUUCUACUCUCUCCCUUGCAAUCUUUCCCUCUCUCUUUAAAUUUCUAGCUUUUUAUUACUAUUUCACUAAUAAUAAUAAAGUCAUGCCCUGUUUUAAGUGUUGUAACCCUUGAUCACUGAUACCCUGUCCAACUGACAUAGGGCCCCGUAACAAAUGUCAAGGCUCUGCCUAAAUUUGUUGGGGUUCUGUCUCGUGACGUAGGGAUAAAGUUAAAUUGGGCUACUAUACUUAAUUUGAGUACACUAUAUAUUUUAUUAAAUAAUCCAGGAGUUAUACCAAGAUAUAUCAACCCUCCAAAAAUAUUUUAGACACCCGCAAAUGUCCUAAAUACACCCCGUAUAUGUAAAACGGUCCCGAAAUAACUUUAUAUAAUUAAAAAUAAAAUAAAAGUCAGUUUUAUAGUCUCUCGCGGGCCGCGAAGACUUGGUCUUCAUCUUACGCGGGCCGCGAGCGAGAAGAUAAGUGGCGCAGCCCAGGAGCCGCCACGUGGCAGUACACGCGUCAGAACCCGGGUGACUCAGCAACACCGCCGCCGCCCUACCAUUUCUCGCGGGCCGCGUAGCCCUUAGCUACGUCUUACGUUGGCCGCGUAAAAGUCGAAAAUCAGCCCUAUAAGUAGCAGGCAACGGCAGUUCCUUCAAAUCAUUCAAAAUUACUUUCUCUCUCUCGAAAUUCUUAAAGGAUAGGCACUAUACUCGGGUAUUAUACCCCCCUAAAUAGCGAAGCUCUGCCUCGUUGUAAGUAUCAUAACCCCUGGAUACGUAUUAGAUACUCUGCCCGAUUAAUCUAGGGUUCCGUAACGGCUGUCGUGGUUCUGCCCGACGUAGUCGUUGGAAUGCCGUCUCGGGGAGGAUUAUAACCAGGAAGUCACACAGGAAAGCCCUAUAAUAGCAAUGUGAGUAAUCUCCUUUUUGUUAACUGUUUUUACAAAACCUUAAAUACUUUUCCAUGCGAAUAGCAGUUAUUGAGUAUUUGUAAGAAUACAAUUACAGAUGGUAAAUUUGGGGAUUUGUAUACAAAAUUUGUUACCACCUGGUAAAGGAGUAACAUGACCAUAAGUCGGAACGACAGUACCAUGUGGUGGUAAUUGAUAUAACUUGGAAACAAAUGUAAUUGCGGAUGCGCCCUCAAUACUGUUCACUGUGACUUUUUAUUUAAAACUUGAUUAAACUGGGAUUCACUCACCAGUAUUUCCUGCUGAUAAAAUGUUUUAAACACGUGUUUCAGGUAACUUAGUGGGAAGCCAAUAAAAGCCAGCUGGAGAGCACCGAAGGCUUAGAAAAGUGGCAAUAAAAGUUACCUAAUUAAAAAUGAGAAUUGUUUUCAAUAAUUGGGAUCAUCCCCUGUAGAUGUAUCAAAAUGAAAAUCGGGUUUUGUCCCACUUAUAAAUGUGUUACUAGAGAAACUUGGAUUUUAUCCCAUUUUCUUUAAUUUAAAUAUAUUUGGUUU